rnacentral:rRNA from 1 species
CCUACGGGAGGCAGCAGUGGGGAAUAUUGGACAAUGGGCGAAAGCCUGAUCCAGCAAUGCCGCGUGAGUGAUGAAGGCCUUAGGGUUGUAAAGCUCUUUUACCCGGGAAGAUAAUGACUGUACCGGGAGAAUAAGCCCCGGCUAACUCCGUGCCAGCAGCCGCGGUAAUACGGAGGGGGCUAGCGUUAUUCGGAAUUACUGGGCGUAAAGCGCACGUAGGCGGCUAUUCAAGUCAGAGGUGAAAGCCCGGAGCUCAACUCCGGAACUGCCUUUGAAACUAGAUAGCUAGAAUCACGGAGAGGUAAGUGGAAUUCCGAGUGUAGAGGUGAAAUUCGUAGAUAUUCGGAAGAACACCAGUGGCGAAGGCGGCUUACUGGACGUGUAUUGACGCUGAGGUGCGAAAGCGUGGGAGCAAACAGGAUUAGAUACCCUGGUAGUCCACGCCGUAAACGAUGAUAACUAGUUGUCGGGGUCUCUUAAGGUAGUCGUCGGUCGUACGCGACGACGUACGUACUAUUAACGUUACGUCCGUCCGUACGGGUACGGUACGGUCGUACGAAGUAAUUAAACUAACAAUAGUAGUAGUACGGCGUGAGACGCGACCGACGACGACGACGAGGGAGUAGG